GACGAACCGUUCGAACGUUGUUCGGAAUCACUGGGCUUAAAGGGCGCGUAGGCGGACAAUCAAGUCAGGGGUGAAAUCCCACGGCUCAACCGUGGAAGUGCCUUUGAUACUGACUGUCUCGAGGGAGGUAGGGGCGUGCGGAACUUCCGGUGGAGCGGUGAAAUGCGUAGAUAUCGGAAGGAACGCCGGUGGCGAAAGCGGCGCGCUGGACCUCUUCUGACGCUGAGGCGCGAAAGCUAGGGUAGCAAACGGG
rnacentral:rRNA from 1 species